rnacentral:rRNA from 1 species
UACAGAGGGUGCAAGCGUUGUUCGGAAUUAUUGGGCGUAAAGGGCGCGUAGGCGGCCCGCUAAGUCGAACGUGAAAUCCCCAGGCUCAACCUGGGAACUGCGUCCGAUACUGGCAGGCUUGAAUCCGGGAGAGGGAUGUGGAAUUCCAGGUGUAGCGGUGAAAUGCGUAGAUAUCUGGAGGAACACCGGUGGCGAAGGCGGCAUCCUGGACCGGUAUUGACGCUGAGGCGCGAAAGCUAGGGGAGCAAACGGG